AAAUUGAAGAGUUUGAUCAUGGCUCAGAUUGAACGCUGGCGGCAGGCCUAACACAUGCAAGUCGAGCGGUAGCACAGAGAGCUUGCUCUCGGGUGACGAGCGGCGGACGGGUGAGUAAUGUCUGGGAAACUGCCUGAUGGAGGGGGAUAACUACUGGAAACGGUAGCUAAUACCGCAUAAUGUCGCAAGACCAAAGUGGGGGACCUUCGGGCCUCAUGCCAUCAGAUGUGCCCAGAUGGGAUUAGCUAGUAGGUGGGGUAACGGCUCACCUAGGCGACGAUCCCUAGCUGGUCUGAGAGGAUGACCAGCCACACUGGAACUGAGACACGGUCCAGACUCCUACGGGAGGCAGCAGUGGGGAAUAUUGCACAAUGGGCGCAAGCCUGAUGCAGCCAUGCCGCGUGUGUGAAGAAGGCCUUCGGGUUGUAAAGCACUUUCAGCGGGGAGGAAGGCGGUAAGGUUAAUAACCUUGUCGAUUGACGUUACCCGCAGAAGAAGCACCGGCUAACUCCGUGCCAGCAGCCGCGGUAAUACGGAGGGUGCAAGCGUUAAUCGGAAUUACUGGGCGUAAAGCGCACGCAGGCGGUCUGUCAAGUCGGAUGUGAAAUCCCCGGGCUCAACCUGGGAACUGCAUUCGAAACUGGCAGGCUAGAGUCUUGUAGAGGGGGGUAGAAUUCCAGGUGUAGCGGUGAAAUGCGUAGAGAUCUGGAGGAAUACCGGUGGCGAAGGCGGCCCCCUGGACAAAGACUGACGCUCAGGUGCGAAAGCGUGGGGAGCAAACAGGAUUAGAUACCCUGGUAGUCCACGCCGUAAACGAUGUCGAUUUGGAGGUUGUGCCCUUGAGGCGUGGCUUCCGGAGCUAACGCGUUAAAUCGACCGCCUGGGGAGUACGGCCGCAAGGUUAAAACUCAAAUGAAUUGACGGGGGCCCGCACAAGCGGUGGAGCAUGUGGUUUAAUUCGAUGCAACGCGAAGAACCUUACCUGGUCUUGACAUCCACAGAACUUUCCAGAGAUGGAUUGGUGCCUUCGGGAACUGUGAGACAGGUGCUGCAUGGCUGUCGUCAGCUCGUGUUGUGAAAUGUUGGGUUAAGUCCCGCAACGAGCGCAACCCUUAUCCUUUGUUGCCAGCGGUUAGGCCGGGAACUCAAAGGAGACUGCCAGUGAUAAACUGGAGGAAGGUGGGGAUGACGUCAAGUCAUCAUGGCCCUUACGACCAGGGCUACACACGUGCUACAAUGGCAUAUACAAAGAGAAGCGACCUCGCGAGAGCAAGCGGACCUCAUAAAGUAUGUCGUAGUCCGGAUUGGAGUCUGCAACUCGACUCCAUGAAGUCGGAAUCGCUAGUAAUCGUAGAUCAGAAUGCUACGGUGAAUACGUUCCCGGGCCUUGUACACACCGCCCGUCACACCAUGGGAGUGGGUUGCAAAAGAAGUAGGUAGCUUAACCUUCGGGAGGGCGCUUACCACUUUGUGAUUCAUGACUGGGGUGAAGUCGUAACAAGGUAACCGUAGGGGAACCUGCGGUUGGAUCACCUCCUUA
rnacentral:rRNA from 1 species